AGAUUAAGUUAUUAAGGGCGCACGGUGGAUGCCUUGGCACUAGAAGCCGAAGAAGGACGUUACUAACGACGAUAUGCUUUGGGUAGCUGUAAGUAAGCGUUGAUCCAGAGAUUUCCGAAUGGGGGAACCCAACAUGAGUGAUGUCAUGUUAUCGACAUGUGAAUUCAUAGCAUGUCAGAAGGCAGACCCGGAGAACUGAAACAUCUUAGUACCCGGAGGAAGAGAAAGAAAAAUCGAUUCCCUGAGUAGCGGCGAGCGAAACGGGAAGAGCCCAAACCAACAAGCUUGCUUGUUGGGGUUGUAGGACACUCUAUACGGAGUUACAAAAGAACAUGUUAGACGAAUCAUCUGGAAAGAUGAAUCAAAGAAGGUAAAAAUCCUGUAGUCGAAAACAUAUUCUCUCUUGAGUGGAUCCUGAGUACGACGGAGCACGUGAAAUUCCGUCGGAAUCUAGGAGGACCAUCUCCUAAGGCUAAAUACUCUCUAGUGACCGAUAGUGAACCAGUACCGUGAGGGAAAGGUGAAAAGUACCCCGGAAGGGGAGUGAAAGAGAACUUGAAACCGUGUGCUUACAAGUAGUCAGAGCCCGUUAAUGGGUGAUGGCGUGCCUUUUGUAGAAUGAACCGGCGAGUUACGAUCUGAUGCAAGGUUAAGCAGCAAAUGUGGAGCCGUAGCGAAAGCGAGUCUGAAUAGGGCGUUGAGUAUUUGGUCGUAGACCCGAAACCAGGUGAUCUACCCUUGGUCAGGUUGAAGUUCAGGUAACACUGAAUGGAGGACCGAACCGACUUACGUUGAAAAGUGAGCGGAUGAACUGAGGGUAGCGGAGAAAUUCCAAUCGAACUUGGAGAUAGCUGGUUCUCUCCGAAAUAGCUUUAGGGCUAGCCUCAAGUGAUGAUUAUUGGAGGUAGAGCACUGUUUGGACGAGGGGCCCCUCUCGGGUUACCGAAUUCAGACAAACUCCGAAUGCCAAUCAAUUUAACUUGGGAGUCAGAACAUGGGUGAUAAGGUCCGUGUUCGAAAGGGAAACAGCCCAGACCACCAGCUAAGGUCCCAAAAUAUAUGUUAAGUGGAAAAGGAUGUGGCGUUGCCCAGACAACUAGGAUGUUGGCUUAGAAGCAGCCAUCAUUUAAAGAGUGCGUAAUAGCUCACUAGUCGAGUGACACUGCGCCGAAAAUGUACCGGGGCUAAACAUAUUACCGAAGCUGUGGAUUGUCCGUAGGACAAUGGUAGGAGAGCGUUCUAAGGGCGUUGAAGCAUGAUCGCAAGGACAUGUGGAGCGCUUAGAAGUGAGAAUGCCGGUGUGAGUAGCGAAAGACGGGUGAGAAUCCCGUCCACCGAUUGACUAAGGUUUCCAGAGGAAGGCUCGUCCGCUCUGGGUUAGUCGGGUCCUAAGCUGAGGCCGACAGGCGUAGGCGAUGGAUAACAGGUUGAUAUUCCUGUACCACCUAGUAUCGUUUUAAUCGAUGGGGGGACGCAGUAGGAUAGGCGAAGCGUGCUGUUGGAGUGCACGUCCAAGCAGUAAGGCUGAGUGUUAGGCAAAUCCGGCACUCGUAAGGCUGAGCUGUGAUGGGGAGAGGAAAUUGUUUCCUCGAGUCGUUGAUUUCACACUGCCGAGAAAAGCCUCUAGAUAGAUAACAGGUGCCCGUACCGCAAACCGACACAGGUAGUCAAGAUGAGAAUUCUAAGGUGAGCGAGCGAACUCUCGUUAAGGAACUCGGCAAAAUGACCCCGUAACUUCGGGAGAAGGGGUG
rnacentral:rRNA from 2 species